rnacentral:rRNA from 1 species
UAGGGAAUCUUCGGCAAUGGGGGGAACCCUGACCGAGCAACGCCGCGUGAGUGAAGAAGGUUUUCGGAUCGUAAAGCUCUGUUGUUAAGGAAGAACGAGUGUGAGAAUGGAAAGUUCAUACUGUGACGGUACUUAACCAGAAAGGGACGGCUAACUACGUGCCAGCAGCCGCGGUAAUACGUAGGUCCCGAGCGUUGUCCGGAUUUAUUGGGCGUAAAGCGAGCGCAGGCGGUUAGAUAAGUCUGAAGUUAAAGGCAGUGGCUCAACCAUUGUAGGCUUUGGAAACUGUUUAACUUGAGUGCAGAAGGGGAGAGUGGAAUUCCAUGUGUGACGGUGAAAUGCGUAGAUCUAUGGAGGAACACCGGUGGCGAAAGCGGCUCUCUGGUCUGUAACUGACGCUGAGGCUCGAAAGCGUGGGGAGCGAACAGG